rnacentral:tRNA from 1 species
AGGGGCGUCGUUCAAUGGUAGGACGCUGGUCUCCAAAACCAGCAACGUGGGUUCGAUUCCCCCCGCCCCUGCCA